rnacentral:rRNA from 1 species
GAUGAACGCUGGCGGCGUGCCUAAUACAUGCAAGUCGAGCGAACGGACGAGAAGCUUGCUUCUCUGAUGUUAGCGGCGGACGGGUGAGUAACACGUGGAUAACCUACCUAUAAGACUGGGAUAACUUCGGGAAACCGGAUCUAAUACCGGAUGAUAUUUUGAACCGCAUGGUUCAAAAGUGAAAGACGGUCUUGCUGUCACUUAUAGAUGGAUCCGCGCUGCAUUAGCUAGUUGGUAAGGUAACGGCUUACCAAGGCAACGAUGCAUAGCCGACCUGAGAGGGUGAUCAGCCACACUGGAACUGAGACACGGUCCAGACUCCUACGGGAGGCAGCAGUAGGGAAUAUUCCGCAAUGGGCGAAAGCCUGACGGAGCCACGCCGCGUGAGUGAUGAAGGUCUUCGGAUCGUAAAACUCUGCUAUUAGGGAAGAACAUAUGUGUAAGUAACUGUGCACAUCUUGACGGUACCUAAUCAGAAAGCAACGGCUAACUACGUG